AGAAUGAACGCUAGCGGUGUGGAUUAGGCAUGCAAGUCGUGCGCGAAAGCCUUCGGGCGAGUAAAGCGGCGAAAGGGUGAGUAACACGUAACCAACGUACCCCACGGACUGGGAUAACCACUGGAAACGGUGGGUAAUACCGGAUGGACCACUGGGAGGCAUUUCCUGGCUGGUAAACGGCGGCGCAAGCGGUU
rnacentral:rRNA from 1 species